GAUACCAUUCCAUUAUUCCGUUCCAGCCAUUACGAUGAGCUGUCCUACCCAAUUAAGGUGCCACCAGCCACAUGUGCACCCAAGGUAUCAGUGCUUACAAACUAAGUUCACAUUGAUUUCCACUUUUAAGGAACAUGCGCCAAGGAUGACCAAUAUCUACUCUGCUCUUUGUCUUUUGUUCAUCUUCUCAUCCUCUGGCAGAGUAAUAAGAGAGAGAAGAUCAAACAGUCUGU
rnacentral:lncRNA from 1 species